AACGAACGCUGGCGGCAUGCCUAACACAUGCAAGUCGAACGAGACCUUCGGGUCUAGUGGCGCACGGGUGCGUAACGCGUGGGAACCUGCCCUUAGGUUCGGAAUAACUCCCCGAAAGGGGUGCUAAUACCGGAUAAUGUCUUCGGACCAAAGAUUUAUCGCCUUUGGAUGGGCCCGCGUUGGAUUAGCUAGUUGGUAGGGUAAAAGCCUGCCAAGGCGACGAUCCAUAGCUGGUCUGAGAGGAUGAUCAGCCACACUGGGACUGAGACACGGCCCAGACUCCUACGGGAGGCAGCAGUGGGGAAUAUUGGACAAUGGGCGAAAGCAUGAUCCAGCAAUGCCGGGUGAGUGAUGAAGGCCUUAGGGUUGUAAAGCUCUUUUACCCGGGAUGAUAAUGACAGUACCGGGAGAAUAAGCUCCGGCUAACUCCGUG
rnacentral:rRNA from 1 species